rnacentral:rRNA from 1 species
UACGUAGGGUGCGAGCGUUGUCCGGAAUUAUUGGGCGUAAAGAGCUCGUAGGCGGUGUGUCGCGUCGGCCGUGAAAACCUGUGGCUUAACCAUGGGCUUGCGGUCGAUACGGGCAUCACUGGAGUUCGGCAGGGGAGACUGGAAUUCCUGGUGUAGCGGUGAAAUGCGCAGAUAUCAGGAGGAACACCGGUGGCGAAGGCGGGUCUCUGGGCCGAUACUGACGCUGAGGAGCGAAAGCGUGGGGAGCGAACAGG